GCAAGUCGAACGCGAAAGUCACUUCGGUGUGAGUAUAGCGGCGGACGGGUGAGUAACGCGUAGGAAUCUACCUAGUAGUGGGGGACAACCUGGUGAAAACCAGGCUAAUACCGCAUACGCCCUACGGGGGAAAGCGGGGGACCUUCGGGCCUCGUGCUAUUAGAUGAGCCUGCGUAAGAUUAGCUAGUUGGUGGGGUGAAGGCCUACCAAGGCGACGAUCUUUAGCUGGUCUGAGAGGAUGAUC
rnacentral:rRNA from 1 species